rnacentral:ncRNA from 16 species
AUUGAAAGCUCUUUCUUGAUUCUGUGGGUGGUGGUCGAGAAACUUCGGUUGUGUGCCACGCUGCGAGCCUGCGAGAUCUACUGUUAAACUCCGUGCCGCCCAGCACGCGAGGGGUCUCGACAACGGSUGCGCUAGUCCAUCUGCUAUGUGAGCAGGGUGGGCGACACCGUCAAAUUGCGGGGAUCUCCUAUAGCUCAUCGUACCCGCUCAGCGCUCGAAAGGGCGCUGUGCUCAAGGUAACAAUCGGUGAGAUGCGACAAUGGACAAUCCGCAGCCGGGUCCUAAGCUCUUCGCCGGGUAUGGAUCAUCGGUUCACAGACUAGAUGUCGGUGGGUCAUUAUCGAAAAUGGCUUAAGGUAUAGUCGGACCACAUGGGAGACCAUGAUGUGGUGAAUAAGGAGAUACCAUCUCCCCGAGCGCCACGGUGCGCUCAGUCGAGCGGGCACGGGUCGGUCGGCAUGGCCGUUCUUAGUUGGUGGGUUGCCUUGUCAGGUUGA